rnacentral:rRNA from 1 species
CAGUAGCCACGGGAAUACGUAGGGUGCGAGCGUUAAUCGGAAUUACUGGGCGUAAAGCGUGCGCAGGCGGCUUUGCAAGACAGAUGUGAAAUCCCCGGGCUCAACCUGGGAACUGCAUUUGUGACUGCAAGGCUAGAGUGCGGCAGAGGGAGAUGGAAUUCCGCGUGUAGCAGUGAAAUGCGUAGAUAUGCGGAGGAACACCGAUGGCGAAGGCAAUCUCCUGGGCCUGCACUGACGCUCAUGCACGAAAGCGUGGGGAGCAAACUGGAUUAGAUACCCGGGUAGUCCCUGUCUCUUAUAC